AGCUUGUGUUCAGAGAUGCACAGCUAAGCUGCCUGAAGCUGAAGGUUUAAGCUGAAACUGAAGAGAUUAAGCAGCAAGGUUUGCUCAGCCUUUCCUACACCAUACCAUAGAAGUAAUCAAGUGCAAGAAGAAACAAAGAAAUCAAGGUGAAAUUACAGCCACCUACUGGGAGUUUAUUCCAUAAAAUCCAUGCAACAAUACUUGAGGACAACUACAGUCUACAUUUGAAAUGCAGAUCAGAUUUCUACACGCUCUGGAUUCAUAAGCUUACUAUUUGGACCAGGAGCCUGUGGAGCAAGCAGCAAGUUAUGAAAGGAGUUGACUGUCCAAGUGCAGCUUCUCUUAUUAUGAAUCAAAUCUUGUCCUUCAUGUGAGAUGCUGAGGCUCCCCUCACUGAGAGUUUUCAGGGAAAAAACAAUUGCCUCUUUUUUCCUGCCUGUAUUAUUCUAUUUGUCCCUCAACUAGGUUACAUCCAAAGGCCAGAUAAAUUUCAGAUUUAAAUAAGGCUAAAUAAGUGCUUGUGACUUAACUAGUUUUCAUCUACAUAGAACUCAUAAGAUCACCUGCAGAAAGGGAAGAUCUGAUGAACCAUUUCCUGGCCAAAAAUAGCUCCAAACCUUAAUUCCCUUAAAUAAACCCUUUAUCUUAAUUUAUGUGUAAAUUUUUCAAAUGUUUCCUAAUCACAGUAAUUAGUACAUUAGGUGCCUGAUUCUUAUUGGCUGUAAAGACCGAUCUUUUAUAUUUACAUAACUCCUACAUCAACAAUGUUACCAUGGUUACAUAAUUGCAGUUUAACCUUGCAAGUGGCUUAUUGAAAUGUUGGGCACUAAAACAGCACUGGUACUGAGCCUAUAUGUAUAUUAAUCAAAAAGAUGUAUAUUCUGUGUUUAUCGGUUAACUACAACUUCUGAGCAAAAAUAGUAUCCCUAAUCAACAGAACUGUGUCAAUCAAAAUUCUCCAUCCUGAAAUUUCUCUUUUUAUAUUUCUGAAAAGUUAAAAAUAGUGGCAGAACAUAUCAGCAAGAUUCUGUGACUUCCUGGACCAGUGUUACUGUACCAAAUUCACUUUCAGAAGAGAUUUUUCUUUUAGAGAUGGUAAUCUACGUGAAACAGAACUUCAAAUGGCUUUCAUUAUCAGUUAUCUGAGAAUGAAGAUAAUAAAAAGGGACACUAGGUUUCAUGGGUUGUGAGAAACAAGUUAUAUUGAUAAGCUGGCAAUUUUUGGAAUGGGUUACAUAUCAUUUAAAUGUCUUUUGGAAAUUAGAGAUGAUAGUGCCAAUCAAGGUGGUUUGCUAACAAAUAAUCUCUAUGUUGUUUUGUCUGUUUGUCUGUUUUUAACUGAUAAAUUAAAGACUAAUAGAGAAAAAAGGCAAAGAAAAAGAGAUGUAAAGAUAACUGACCAUGUGGAAAACUCAUUAAAUGAUGAUGCUUGAGCUU
ensembl:lncRNA